GACAGAAUGAGAAAGACAAUGAUCAGCUCCAGGGGGAUCAGAGAAGGUCUAAAGUUACCUGUGAGUACUGUAACAAUCAGAAGACACCUAUGUGAAGACAAACUACGGACAAGAAGACCCCACAAAGUCCCACUGUUGGAAAAAACAGAGCUUAACAAUUGGUACAGAAACAUUU